AAUCACCAACUUCUUACCAUUGACACACUUAUAACCGUUUCCAGAUUUAUGGAGGAUGAAGACCUAUCGUACCAACGUGGCAGUUGAAAAAUGAAUUGCAACACAAUGAGAUAUAUUCACGUUAGGAGAGGAGCAGUACCUGUGCAUUCAGAAUUGGAACUGCAGGUGUAACAUUACUGUUGAUAGAGGCAUCUCCUGCCGCGGUCCACUCAGUCUGAGCUGCCAGCCCGCCUAGCUUCUGCAAAGCCCCAAGUUGUCAUGGCAACCACUUCCUGAGACUUGACACUCAUGCCUGCAGACUCUGGGUCCUGACUUAGAUAAUUUUAUUUUUUUAAAAGGCAUAAAUUGAUAGUGCAAUAAAAUCUGGUUUAAAGAUUG
rnacentral:antisense_RNA from 1 species